rnacentral:snRNA from 1 species
AGAGAGAGAGAGAGAGAGCAUGGCCCCUGCGCAAGGAUGACACGCACAAAUCGAGAAGUGUACCAAGUUUUC